AUUGAACGCUGGCGGCAGGCUUAACACAUGCAAGUCGAGCGGAGAGAGGUAGCUUGCUACUGAUCUUAGCGGCGGACGGGUGAGUAAUGCUUAGGAAUCUGCCUAUUAGUGGGGGACAACAUUUCGAAAGGAAUGCUAAUACCGCAUACGUCCUACGGGAGAAAGCAGGGGAUCUUCGGACCUCGCGCUAAUAGAUGAGCCUAAGUCGGAUUAGCUAGUUGGUGGGGUAAAGGCCUACCAAGGCGACGAUCUGUAGCGGGUCUGAGAGGAUGAUCCGCCACACUGGGACUGAGACACGGCCCAGACUCCUACGGGAGGCAGCAGUGGGGAAUAUUGGACAAUGGGCGGAAGCCUAAUCCAGCCAUGCCGCAUGUGUGAAGAAGGCCUUAUGGUUGUAAAGCACUUUAAGCGAGGAGGAGGCUACUUUAGUUAAUACCUAGAGAUAGUGGACGUUACUCGCAGAAUAAGCACCGGCUAACUCUGUGCCAGCAGCCGCCGUAAAAC
rnacentral:rRNA from 1 species